GCGAUUUUAGAUGGCUUACUGCUCACCAAUGGUCAUAUCACGGCAAUCAAUUUAGCGAAUUGCAUCUGUUGUCUCUCACUCCAUCAUUCUUUUGCUGUCAUUCUGUGCAUUCAUCAGUUAUAUUUAGGAUGUUAGCAUCCACGAUUCAAUCUCUAAUUUUGCAGUGGUUUGCUUCAGGACACCUGUUUUUAUAAAACUCUGAAAUUAUUACUUGUCCAUUUAGGUUUGAAGGGUGAUGUGGUUCUAGCAGCGAGGUGGUUCGGGCGCCCGGGUGGUUCCGACUUCUGAGCUACUGAAGUAGGCUGGGCUGUUGAAAAGUUGGAAUGCAAAGUCCUUUUAAAUUUACAGUCACGGAGAGAAACAAAGUUUUCUUGUAGAAGGUCCCAAUGAAACCUCUUUGUAAGGAAGCUCCCAGGGAAACUUAAUUAUGAUGGAUAAAAGAAGUGUUGUCUUGAAUAACUGCCUAAUAUAGUUAAGUUCGGAAGUGAAAUUUCAUCAGAUUGACCAUGAAAGGCUUCAAGGCUAUUGACUGUUCUGUUUAAACCAGGAGAGCAUAACACAGAAGCUACUCAGAGACCCUCAUUUCUCAUUACAUCCUCCCUUGAUUUCUAACAACACACGGUACACAUAAAUAGUACUACAGCAGUACUCGGCACGAAUACACCACGUACACGACACAUAUAUAAAUAUAACAAAUGAUUAACUUACAAGCAACAAAGCUUAAAAUGAUUUGAUUUGAGCCAGAAGAAGAAGGAGAAGGCAUGCAGAGGAUGAAGACGGCGAACCACCGGCUGAUCGAGGAACGGCUGAGGAAGCGCGAGGUACGGACGGGUCAGUCGCGGCAGGCGGAGCUCUUGGGCUUGACGACGAACUUCAUCUGGCCGGCGGUGCAGUGGAGCCCGGCGCGCUCCCCGCAGACGAAGUAGUGGGGCUUGCGCUUCUUGAGGACGAACUCGUAGCCCGACCCGGCGCCCUGCAUCACCCCGGCCACCAGCUUGGCCGCCUUGAGGUUGCACGACUGGUACUCCGCCAGGCUCCGCAUCAGGUACACGCUGUGCGCGUGCGUCGUCGCGUUCGGCGGGUCGUACGUGAACACUGCAUCCCAAACACAUUUUAGCUUCUCUUUUUUUUCUUUCAAAUUUGCAGUUUGUAGACGCCUUUUCAAGUGCUUUCAAAAGGCCACCCACUCAACUCAACUGAACUGAAGUACUGAACUGAAUAACGUACCGAGGCUGUCGUUCUGGAAGAAGGGGCCCUUCCGGAUGACCCAGUCCGUGUAGUUGUACCCCCACGUCCACCGGGCCGCAUCGCCGACGACGAACCGCUCCGCCCGGCAAGCCUCCGGGACGACCACCAGCAGCAGCAAGAGCACUGCCACGGCCGUCGUUGCUCCACCCUUCGCCUCCAUCUCCCAAUUUACCUCAAACAAACAAACAAACAAACAAUGGAUCCGCACUUAGCUGCUGAGAGUGCUUACAAUUGGAUGCUUUUGCUUCGGUUUUGUUUGGUUUGGUUUGGUUUGUGAAUGAGGUGCGGUCGCACGGGUAUAAAUAGGAGCCGGGAUAGGCACGGGCCGGGGGCGUGAUGAUGUCGCAAAGUUGACUUAUAAUAAUCACAGCGCAGAGCCGAGCCGAGGUCGAUCGAGAGAGAAGGAAGGACCUGGAAGGCUGGAAAGAACUGUAAUACUGUAGUAGUAACAGGGCAUGACAAGAACUUGAUGGGUUCUCUCUCUGGGGUCGUUGUUUAAAGUUUUGGUUCACACGAUUAAAGCGGCAUGCACUUGAGCUCGCGUUAUUUGGGGUUGGUCGUCGUAACCUUGGGUGCGCCAUUAGCGAGCGUGCUUAGUGGCCGGACGUGUGUGUGUUUCGGGGUUGGUGGGCAUCAGUGCUGUGGAAUUUAGCGGCAAUAGUGAUACGGGGUAGCAUCUACCGUUGUGGUAACUUUAAUAAUUUGCCGGCUCUGGUCACUUCUACGUCGCCGCUGAUGUGUUUCCAUAGUGCAGGGUCAUUACCGUAGCCCAAGAUUACUGCUCAGGAUUAGGGGGGCAACAGCCAUGAUUACCGUACGUAGUAGAGGAUAAUUAAGAGUGGCUCGAGAUGAUUAAGUGAGUGUUGUGAUUGGUCUGGUCGACGUACGUACAUCAGCACGUACGUACGUGCGUGCUUCAUGAUCGCGUCAUGCUGAGAGUUGCUUCGAGCGAGAGAGUGCUUAAUCUGUAAAUUAACUGGAGCCUUGAUUGCCGUAUUGGUUGAGCACUUGACCAUCAUGCUUAAAUUAAGGGGAAAAUUAAUUUAUGGGGAACUUUUCUCGUGUUCCAUGACCACCGUCAAAGUUCAGACGACCUAUCCCUUGCGACCCACUACACGUAAGGCCCGCCUGGGUGGUCCAGACGGCGCGAAAUCGUUGCCGUCCAAGCACUAUCCGACGACCGUUCGUCAACUUGCUGGGAUUGGUUAAUACUGUCGCGCGGGAGAUCGGUCGGUCGCUUACCUUUGAAAUCGCUGAUAUGUUUCCGGUACGUUUAAGCUUUGGGAUUCAGACAUUCAGUCACAGAAGACGUAUGAGCAAUGCGUGCGCCUCAUGCGUGCACGUUCCAGCAAUUGCUAUUUGCAGGCCGGGAGAGGCAAAGCAUGCUUGUGGAUUGCGCCGUGAAACCUGCUUAAUUAAACGCAUCAGCAUUAUCGAAGGAAAAAAAAUACCAUGCGACAACCCGACCUUCACGCAAAUUAACCUACAGUACAAGUUUUUUAAAAAAAUUCUAUAAAAAACGGAAAAGCGUUAGAUCUAUCAUGGGGGGUAUAGCUCCUUUUUUGUGAACAGGAUCACCAAUCUAUUAAUAAUCAUGAAGAACAAUACACGGAGCACUUGAACUGAGCAUAACUCAGGUGGUCUGGUUCCCCAGGUUCAAGUCAUAGACUUGGCCUGGAUGCUCACAUUUCGUGUAUUUAUUUCAAGAUUUAACUGACGCUAUUCUUUCAGUGUUAGGUGACGUACCCGCCAACAUGGAGGCACAUGCGGUGACUUCAUCAAUCUAUCAAGAUCUGUCGGCUCGGUCUCACGGAGGUGCUCAUAAGGGUAGUGUGUGUGCACGUGUGUUCAUUGGGAUGAGUGUACGCGCGUCUUGUCAACAUUGUGUAAUGUGUUUCUAAAAAAAACACAUGCAUAGAGCAAUAAAAGUGAUAAAGAAUACAUACAAGUCUUUGGACCAACAACAACCACUGGAACGAGCUGAAGGCGGUCACCGUCCUUGCCCCUCAAUCACCGGAAGCGGGCAGAGUUUGCCAAAAGAGGGCUUGUGUUAAUACACGAUGGAGUAGUCGCCGUGCUAAGGCCCCAAAGAACCACUACACUGGAGCAGCUACCGUUGCAAAAAAUGAGAACCAUAUAUUGGAGGAGCCAGAUCUGAAGACACUAACAAACACGAACACCAAUGAAACCCAAGGAACUCGUCAGAAACCCAAAACGCUGAUCGGAUCACAAGGGAUUCGCCGAACGCACCCUCCGCUGGAGUGAGGGCAGGAGGGACCUUAUUCUGGCUGCAAAAUGUCGCCGCCUCAUCUCCAUCUUAAAGAAGACAGUGAAAAAUCCUAAAAAAAAUGAGAUGUCCUUCGGCCGGGGAGCGUCCUGGAUCCGCCACACCUCCAUACGUGGCCAAGGAUCCGGACAGAUCGGCGCCAGCGCCAGCAGAGGGAAAAAGCUGGGAUCAACCGCCGCUGCCGCCGGCCUGCCGGUGAGCCUGAGAAACGAUCGCGUGGGAGACCUAACCGAACCGGUAGGUUUGUUGAGGGGAGUAUAGCCCAACGGGGGGCAACAACAUAUUUUUUCAAACAUAUAUAUGCAGAAGAUAUAUGUUCUUAGUCUUUUGGGAAAAAAAAUCAAGAUAAGCAUUUGCCAUGUAUAAAGAACACAACCGUUUGUUGGAAUCAUGCACGGCACUUCACGACGCCAUAUUGAUACGACGAGCGUGUGCUAUACGUUCUCGUAUGAUUGUAUUACUGUAGAUGGAUCUCGACUGAACCUGCGUGUGGGGAGUGCAGCAAAGCAUGCGUGCAUCAUGAGUUUUUCUAUAAUGAGGCAUAUUUCUCGACCGAGUCUACAAUCCACAAGUUCUUUCUUAUUGGCAUGUGAGGUAGGUUCACGCUACAUUGCCCGCUACCAUGCACGUGACCACAUUUCGGUGGCGAAAUACGUACCUUGGAAGACAAGACUGGAUGAGCGGCUUAAUAAUCGUAUGUAAUCCAUAAUGGAAUGGAUAUUGGCUCUUUCCGGAGCGGUCAUUUUGAAAAAAAAUUUAGAACCGAUUACAUGCAUAUAUAUAUAUGCACAUACCACCAUAAGCAAAGAGCGGCAGCGAUUCCGGUGAAAUUGAAUGUUGAUACUGCGUUUAAUGUUGAUUCUGGUGAUGGAGAGUCGGGUGCUAUUCUGCGCAAUGAUCGCGGCUUCUUUAUUGUGGUUUCUAAUUGCAAGUUCGCUUAUGUCGAAGACGCUGUUACAGCUGAAACUCUUGCCUUUCGGGAUGGCCUGAAUCUUGCAUAAUUAGCGCGGUGUAACCGGCUAGUGGUAAAUUCAGAUUGCAUGGAGGUCACUAACACGAUGCUUCGAGGGGUUUUAAUCUUAGCCUGGCUGCAUUAAUUUAUGGUGAUUGUUUUUUAGCUUCUCUUAAAUUUGUUGGGUUGUGUUUGAGAAUUGUCCUAGGGAAGCUAACAAGGCUGCUCAUGUUUUAGCUAGUCACGAAUGAGUUCUUGGUUAAUGUUUGGCACGAUGACUCUUCAGAUUUUAUCUAGGAUGUAAUCACAAACGGUUCUUGGUUAAUGUUUGUCAUAACUCUCCGCAUUUUAUCUUGGAUGUAACCACAAACGAUGUAAAGUAUGUCACGCUGGCUUUCCCUUUAAAAAAAAGCAAAGAGCGGCGGUGACAACGGCCAAUGCGUGGGCAAGAGCGGCGGCUACUGGCCGAGCGAUGUGCAGGGGGAGAAGUAGUGAGGGCGACGAGGAGCAAGGGUCGGGCUGUUGUGUCUGGUCGAGGCUAAAUCGUGGCUUAAAGUCAGAUCCAUGCUGUAUACACCUAGGUAUCUCAGUUUCUAUCAAAAUAUGCCAGAUUUGCAUUGACAAUUUUUGAAAGUGCAAAGUUACCGUGGUGUUUCUCGAAUAGGCCGAUUCAGCAAUGAGAUAUCAAAUUGACCCAGAACUCCCAAGAUGAAAAUUAUCCCAAGGAUAUUGUAUCCAUGCUUGUUUGAAAUGUGAACUAUAGUAUAUUCUGAAAUGUGAAUUGUAGUAAUUAGAAGAUGCAUAUUCGAAAUGUGAAUUAUAGUUGUUUUUCUUGUGAGGAUAGAAACAUUUACUAGAAAUAUGAGCUAAUGGAAGUUUAACUCCCACGGGAACACUCAAAACCUUAACUUCUCGCAAUUCGAUUGAUUCAUUUCUUUUGAACACGUGGAGACAGGAAAAUAAAAACAAAUUAACUCCACCCCUUUUUGCUUUUCAGAAAAGAUUAACUAAUCUAAGCCUUCUAUAACGUAAAGCAAGGCACGAAUGGAUAAUGUAUCACACGCCGCAAGGCAUCAAUGGAGAAUGAGUGAAGGCUUCGCACAACCUGGCUCAGGUGCAGGAGGGGCCCCUUCCCUUCUACCACACUACGAACUAACAGCAAAACCUUGCUCUCAGGUGCAUGAGGGCCCUUUCCUUCUACAAACACUACGAACAAAAACAUAAAUUGCGAUAUAAGCUGAGACAAAGACGAGCAGAGGUUGUUCUCUGCCACGCCACGAUCCCUUACGCAAGCAAACCCAGUAACAUGCCAAACCGCUGGUCUGUGACCGAGAAACAUGCGCCAGGUGAAAACGCCACCGAGAAAGAAAAUUAUGUCAAAAGCAUUGGACCUGAAAGAGUUUGGCAGCAUGCGGAUGUGGCAGACAAAAGGGACUUGGACAGCUGACACAAAAGCGAAGCAAGCAAACGAUGCACAAAAGGUACCAAUUGUCAGGCUUGACCACAAUGAGUCUAAAACAAGAGGACAUGUCUAUUUGGCAUGCAUGCCCUUCCUGCGACGUCUGAAAAAUUGCAGUGCUCAGUUCAAUGUCUCAGGUUUUCUCCCUCCGACAGCAUGGAGACCCACGGCUACCUCUGUAAUAAAACAAAAACAAAAGCUCUCCUUCCCCCCACUAUUUUUUCAUGUAUUUUGAUUGGUGGUCUGCCUCUUUGCUAGACAGUCUCCCUUGUUAUACCUGCAACAUAAAUCACCUAAUUAUUAUUUUCAAGGCGUAAGAGCAGGAAACUAUGCCAUUGAAGAGCAGAAAGUUGAGUUCUAUGGUAUAAAGACCUUUUCUGCGGACAGUUCCAGUAUGUAUCCCAGGUUACGCUACCAAAAAGGUUCCGCCGGGGGAAGAAACUACAGAUCAAUUGUUCUACAAGAAAACAAAUGACCAUUAGCACCUGCGCGCCUCCUCUGUACUGAAAGUUCAACAAAUAAAAAGGCACUUGAAAAUUACUUCGUUGUUGUUCUCGUCUGAUUUUCCAGAGGGUUGGAACAUCCUAGAAAAUGCCUUCCGCUCCUUAUCUCUUCUGUUGGCAAUCUGUAAAGGAGUUUACAACAAUGAACAUUUACCCAGAGCCAAGGUUCACAACGAAAUCAAGACUGACCUUCUUCUUUGCAGCAGCCAGCUCUCGUUUAAUUCCUCCUGCAGGUUGUCGAAACAAAUUUAUUAGAUACUCAUUGGCUAGGAGAUGGAUUGACAAUGGAGAGGAAAGAGGCACACCAUCAUUCGGCUCCAACUCCAACGCAUGCUGGAAGCUCUCCACUGCUGCAUCGAUGUCAUUAAGUGCUAUGUGUGCCUGCAGAGCACAUUUACGAGAUUGGCAUUAGUAUAUUACUGUUUCUGGAUGUGAUACAUGUAUAAAAGGCAAAGAAUAUAUUUUUCAGCUCGAUUACAAAUACUUUAGAUAUCAAUACUGAUAUCCAAGAAAGAGUUUAGAAACAAAUAAUAGCACAUACAACAAUAGUAGUUUGCAAUAGACUCAGAAACGCUACAAGUAUUAUGGCAGCUAUCUUUCGUUGUGUUUUUAGCAUUACAAAAUAAAAUAAAUAUAUACUCCCUGCGUUUCUUUAUAUCUGUACAUGCAGUCCUCAGAUUAUCUGUACAUUUGGACUCCCAAAGCCUAAUUAAUCAUCCAAUGUUUAGCCAUGCUUACUCUUCCUAGGCAAACAAUUUUAAAGUUGUCAUCCUAUUGGAUGAGACAAGGUGGAGUGAAGGAGAGAGUGGAGGAUGAUUGAAUGAAUGAUGCAAUUACUUGUGUGCAGAAUGUGAGGAAAGAGGCCAAGCAACAACUUGUCCCUCUUGCUUAUUUUGUCUACAAAAAGAUGAAUGUACAGAUAUAAGUGUUAUUAGUCAUAAUCACUUCUGUACCAUGAUGUUAUUCGUCAUAAUCACUUCUGUGCUAUGAAAAAUUAACGUCCGAGUAUUGAAAAUGAGUAAAUUAAGGUCCCCUGAUAAGUUCAGUUGUAGUUCAGGAUUUACAAGAGAUAUACAUUUGGACCUUAUAACGAAGAAUAAUUCAAAAUGCGCACCAUGCACGAUAGCUGCCCAUCACUAACUAAGAGCUAUGGCAAAUACGGAGCUAUCACGCUUAUAGUAUGCAAAACAGUGAUACAAAAAAGCUACAGCACCACUAUAGCUAGCUACUUAGAACAUUGCUCAGAUCCAAAUGUUGAAGCAAAACCUUAAUACAUUUAUGGUGAUGGUCCGUUGCCAUGUUGGGACAGAUUUUUCUGAACAGAAAUAAAGAGAAUAUAUGACCCUUCCACUGUACAUGGCAAUCAUCUCAAGGUUUUGUGAUAUGCCAUUAUAUCAAUAUGACAAGGGAAAAAAUAGUUAAGCACUUUAAACAAGAUAAACACUUGGAAAUAUGAAAAUGGAAAAUAUACCAUUCAAGCAAAUGAACCACUCCGUGUGUGUGCAAUUAAUGAUAAUAUAAGAUUGAAAACAGUUUGAGAGAAUGUGGGAAAGAAAACCAUACAUGCUUUUGCAAACAAAGUAUAAUUUGGAGAAAAAACAUAAUUAAGAACUUAGAGCCAUUACAUACAGAAGGUCAAUACCAACCUGUCCUUGUCGAAAAAAGGCCUUAGCAUUUCCCUCUGUUUCACGGAGUGCAAAAUCCGCAUCCAACAAAGCACCCUUCAAAUCUCCCAACUUCAUUUUGCAUGCCUGAAGAAACAAUGUCAGUUUCCGGAAAGCAGUGCUUGCAAUGCUGAGAUUGAAUAGUAUCGUUCAUUAAUCCCAAGAGUAGCACUUAAUAGGUUUUGAGACGAUAAUAAAUCAUGAUUAUCAUAUGUGGCCGAGUUGGCAAACAAAAAAUAGUACAAUGAUAUCAUAAACCGUGUAUAUGAGUUGUGUAACAUGCAGAAGGAAAUAACAUUGGGUACUGACAAAGUAGAUGGGUUCUGUUCUGAAUAUAUUGACUGACAGUGAUGAUUGAAACUAAAGAGGAGAUUCUAGUUCUAUGACAGUGUAUGCACAUGGAACUCAGCUACAAAUGCUCAUCAGCUUUACAGUUGACUCCAUAUAGGAAAAAUGAAGAGGAGCACAAGGCAACCCAGAGCUGUGCAACAGAUAAUCAGAGACAAGAAAAAUGUAGCCUUCUAUCUAACCUAUGGACCUUUCUAAGAGUUUGCUAGUUGCUACAAGUCAGCAACCACAUGGCGAAGUGGUGUGGCAGAGUUAGUCAAUGAACUAAUACCAGGUUUACUUCGAUAAAAUAAUAGCAGAUAUGAAUCCAGCAAAUAAGUAUUUAAACUGGAAAAGGUAUCUUACAGAGCUAUUUGUGAGUAUUAUAGAUUUGGUCUUCCGCAGUGCUGAACUCUUCUCUGCAUAUCAAGACAUGCCCAUGAUACAAUUGUCAUCUGACAGGUUUAUGAUAUAUAUGUGCAUUGUGCAAUGUGACAGAGCCAACAAAAAUUACGAUUUACCUUCGUCUAUCUCUUCUUUCUCCCAGCAAACAUCCAAGUAGCGCAGAGCUUUCCUGUACUUUCUCAGGGCUGUCUUGUAAUCCUGUUUCUGUAGAGAGUAGAAGCACUAGCUUUAGCUUCAGGGAACCAUAUAGGGAAAUACUCCCCCUAUCCUGAUAUACAAGGUCGACAUGGAAUUUUAUGCCAAACUUUGACCAGGGUUAUUGUGAUGCAAAGAUGAUAUUAUACACAUGCCAAAUAUUAUUUUUCUAAUAGCUGGUCAAUGUUUGGCAUAAGAAGGAAGGAAUACAGCAUUACAUAAAUCUACAAAACUAGAUCAGCUCAGAACUCUAAUAAUGAAUAAUUGAUCCAUAAGACAAACACAAGAAUCGUGAAUAAUGCGCUUAUGCCACAGGAUAUGCAUGUUGAACAAAUUCAAAGAGCAACCAUCCACCCAAAUGGCCAAUCAGCGGAUUCAAAAUGGGUACCACUCUCAAGGAAUAGGAACCCACAUCUCGGCUGUGGCAAGACAGAUGUAGUUGCAACACUAUCCCGGACAAGAUAAUUGACUGAACUCAAAUUACAAACCUUGGCUACUCCAAUGAUCCUUGGAUUAUGAGUUCUUUUCUGUGUCUAAGAUAAGUUAGCACCGAGAAUCACUGAAACCAAUGAACUCUAUUCCUCUAUCAAGAAACAUGCUCUCUAGCUUAGUUGGGUUUUCAAGGAGACCAGGAGACCACUGAAAUACCACCUUACCACAAAAUACUAAUUUAAACAAAAAAGAUGGAGCUUAGCUUAGAGAAAAGUACCUUAAAGUUAUCAUUCCCAAAAGUCUUAGCAGCCUCCACAGCAUUAAUCCACCAUGAAACCUCUAAAGGCUUCUCAUCGAGGUCAUUUGGCCAGUCAGGAUACAUGUCACCAUCCUUGAAAAAGUUUACAACUCCAUCAUCAGCACCUUCAGGAAGUUCCCCGCAAUCAGCAAUUUCAGCAUCGGCAGUAGGACGGUCAGCAUCUCCAACAGGAAUGUGCUCACAUGAGCGAACCACCCCCAUUCCCUUUAUUACUCUCCCAAAGACUACAUGUUUCCCAUCUAAAUGAGGUGUUCGGGUGGUAGUGAUGAAAAAUUGAGAUCCAUUUGUGUUCGGACCCGAAUUAGCCAUAGAUAAUAUUCCUUUCCUCUCAUGCUUUAAAACAAAAUUCUCAUCCUCAAACUUCAGACCAUAAAUUGACUCCCCUCCUGUUCCAUCACCAGCAGUAAAAUCUCCACCUUGUACCAUAAAACCUUUGAUAACACGAUGAAAGUAUGAUCCCUGUAAAAAUAGCAAUUAGCACAGUUCUGUUAAGCGUUUACUGUGGAAAACUGGUAGUGAAUCAGUGCAGCAUACGCAACUGCAUCAAGACAUCGAACUUUCACCAUGGUAUUUUUUGCUCGGAAACAGAAAUUACUAAACAACGAGUUCUCAACAUGAAAGAAACACUGAUCAACUCUCAUCCUGUACUUGUGGUAUCUGCGUCUAUGAGGAAAAAAAAAAGAAGAAUUGCCAAUUAUCUUCAGAAGUUAAGAUGGUGAGCAGCUCGGUCCAAUUGUAAUCACAAAAAACACUACCACUCAUUAUAAUGGAAAAGUAAAGAGUAAACAAUUGGUACGAGUCCCCACCAAUGAAACACAAAACUACCCAUUAUGCACAUUGGGAUCCGUAUCCACACACACACACGACAGAGCUUCCAACAGGUGAGCAAAAAGAAAGUAGUCAGUACCACUGCACUUAUGCACUCCUCAGUCCUCAUGCAUCACUGUUCUCAUUGCCUCAUUGGCAUGGUUUCACUAAGGUUGAUCAGCUCAUCAGCGAAGCAAAGCAAAUCUAGAUAGAGUGAUGAUUGAUGGCUUCUGUUUCUUCCCAAAGGUAAUAAGAAUAUAUCUUUAAUGGAGCCAAAAUCCUCCAGAAUUCCCACAAGCAUACACCCACCAUAUGUCUCGUAGGUUUUAAUUGAAAAAUAAAGCGGUUCAGUCGUUUGCAUUAACCUGCCAAUGGAAUAUGAUGUCACAGAAAUACCACGAAAAAUUGGUAUUCCAUACUAUGCCAGGUAGCACACUAGCACUAUAGUUCCUCGUGUGUAUAAGAACAUCGUUGUGAUUUAAUCACAAGACCAUGUCGGGCAAACUGCAUCGUACGGCUGAUAGUUUAUCGCUACAUAUUCCUACAGGUAACACAUAUGUUUAGUGAUACUGUAGCAGCGCAAAGGAGAUGCAUGUGUCUUAUUCCCAGUUCCCUCGAGCAUGUGACAGAGCAUAAAAGCUAGCGCGAGAAGAUACUUGAUAGGAUAAUAUGUGCAUGGUGCAGUUUCAUAAUGAAGUCAAAAGGGAUGGGCCCUUAUUAACAGUAGCAGAACUUGUGUUAGCAGUGCAUAGAAUCCACUGCACAUCCAAGGACACGAUUUGACAUCACAGCUACUACUUCUGAAUAGUAAUAAGUUAAAACAAAGAAAAGAGCACUGGUUAGAACGUAGAAUCUUAAAACAUCAAGGCAGGUAUAUACUGAAGAUUGAAGAAUAUCCAGACAUAUAACAAAAGGAGACGAUAUCAUACAAAGACAGAUUCCAAUUUUAAUAAGGAUUAAGGAGGUAAAAUCCUUUUGAGGGGGUUGCUGUACAGGAAAGAAGAGACAAUACAGGACUACAUCAAACACAAUAUUUCAGAUUCCAGGGUUCAGAAAUUAGCGCGAAAACCCCAGAAUAAUCGGUCAAUCACAUCAGAAACAACGCCUUUCGCUCAAAAAGCUUAACCAAUCCCACCAAAACACAGACGUUCCUACCCUAAGCAGAGCAAUGAUUAUGUGAACUACUCCCAAAUCGCUCAAACGCUUCUCGCUCAACCAGACCAAAUUACAGUUUCCAACACCCAAAUGCCUCAGCAACAGCACCGAAGGAACCAAAUCAGACAGGGGCGCAAGGGAGCAGCCAAAAUCUCUAUGCGCUCCAAUCAAUCGGUACUAACCUUAUAGUGGAGCGGCUUGCCGGACGAGGCGCCGACGCCCUUCUCCCCGGUGCAGAGCGCGCGGAAGUUCUCUGCCGUCCGCGGCACCACAGAGGCGUAGAGCUCUAUCACGAUCCUCCCCUCCAUCUCGCCUCCGAUUGUGACGUCCAUGAAGCACCUCGGGUUUUUCGCCUCCGCCGCCGCCGCAGCCGGUGCCACGCCCCCGCCGCCGCCCUCCAUUGCGCCCGCCGGAGAUGGCCUGGAGAUCGAACCCUAGCCCGGGGUGGAGCUUCGCGAGGCGAGCUGGAAGUGGAAACGGCGGUGGACUGGAGGUGGUACUCGUCGGUUUCCUCGGGAGGCUAACGGCAAGAACCGCGUCGUGUUUGACGGUAGGUCGGGGAGUGGGGUAAAAGUCCUUUGGUCUCAAGAGUUUUACGGUGGGUGGUUUUAUCGUGUCGUCGCUCAUAGAGAUGGAUCUGAUUAGCGGGACCGGUGGAAACCCUAGGUUUUGGUUGUCGUGGGAUAAGAGCAUAUCCUUAUUUCCUCUGUCAUGAUAGUCCGACACGGCCCAAUAUACGAAAAGCGUUUAUUUGUUAUGUUAUCAAUGAGCUGUGAGAAGUGAAACAAAAUAAAGGUAGGAUCUCCUUGACAUACUCACAAUGAAGACAAGUCGCCUCUUGUGUAUCGGGUGAUCGAGAAAGAUGACAUAAGAUCAUGCAACAAAACCACCGGUGGAUGUUGAAGAAUGUUUGACGAAGUUUCACUUCGGCAAUAACCAAACUCAAGGGCUUUCGACUAAGGAGAGCACGGAGUGCACCAGCAACCUCGUCGACUAACAAGGACAAGGGAGGCACAAGGAUUACCCAGGUUCGGGGCCCUCAAGGAGGUAACACCCCUACGUCCUACUUUGAUGUUUUGUAUUGAUCAAGGCUACAAGGAAGCUCUGAGGCUGUGGUGCGCAGAUGGGAUCUGGCGUGUGUGUAGAGGAUGGCCCUUCCCGAUCUCCCCUCCUAGCCUUAUAUACAGGCGGCUAGGUCUCGGGCGUGAUAAUCGGGAUGGUUACAAUCAGAUCAGUACAUUCUGAUAUAGCGAGAUUACGUUCCUUACCGCAUUCCAAGGGACUUAACCUGUGUAUACUUAAUGGGCAUUCGUGUGGACUCCCUGUUAGGCUGUACCAGGUAUACGAAUGUUGAGGACCUCAGGUAUACGAAUGUUGAGGACCUGAACGAUCAUUCCCUCGUCAAUGUUGUUAUCAAAGAAGGAGGACAAGUGCGUAAUUAAUAUUUUACUAGCACAAUGCUUUUAUGUUGCUACUACGGACAGAGAAAAAUACGUACCCUACAUAAUAAAUAGUAUAUUAUAUUAUCUUAGAUCAUAUAAUCUAUGUUUGUUCUCACUUCAGUGUUUGUACCUAAUGAACAAGUGAUGGGUUUGAAGACAUGACGGACUGUCGUCACCAAUUCAGUAUUUUAUUUGAGUACAAAUAUAUCAAAUAGUUCGUUUUGUUUGGGUAUGUGAUUGAUAGGAAACUAGAAAAAAAAUGCUAUAUAAAAUCAUAAUAAACCCGCCUCAGAGUGUAUGGAGAAAUAACCCUUGUAACUCACUCAAUAGAUUAGUGAACUCCAAUCGAUGAUCAAGGUGAAGUGAACUAGUCAGUAGAACAUUCAGGUUAGAAAAGCAGUCUGCCAUGUCUUGCAGCGAUGGAUUUGAAAGGGUAGUUGCUACGGACAUGGGUAGUAGUUGAGUGUGUUGCAGUUAUGGUGGAUUGACAAAUACGGUGGUAGAGAGUGUGCUACACAUGAGGAGGGUACUUGAUAAGCUUGUGAAAAGAGUGAGCAAAGAAAGAUGGAGGAGAAUAGAAGGAAGAAGAGGUAUGUUGGGCCACGUAUAUGGGUCGGUUAACUAAGCCACAAGGAGGCUUGUCUUAUUUUCACAUGCUAACUAUUCACUCCGUUCCACAGAACACAUCAUAUGGAUUUGUGUAUUCAGACCAAGACAACUCUUGUCCGUUCCACAAAACACAUCAUAUGGAUUUGUGUAUUCAGACCAAGACAACUCUUGUUCGUUUCUUGUGACUGAUCAUUCAUAUUAGAUUAAGAAUAAGUAUAAAAGUCAAGGAAAAAAUGAGAUAUAUUAUGGAACAAACGAAAAAAAUGAGGUGUUAUGUGAAACAGGAUGAAUACUUAAUUUGACUAGAUAAAUAGCAAGAUCUAGUCGUACAUCUCUUGAUAUCUAUACCAAUCUAAAAAAUACGGACCGUUCCCUUCACCGCCGUUUGUCAAACUUUCCAAAAAAAAUUGUGGGCCCCCCAAGAUUGCAUGUAUAUUAGACCUAAUAAGUAGGCUGGCCUGUUACUUGCACCGAAUUGGACUGGAACCCACUCAUCGGCAUGCACGGAAGAAUACAUAAGCUUCAGAUAACAACAUGAACUGCCAAAUAUAAAUAUCCACCCAUUUGUCGAUCUAUAAAUAUUUUUUAGAGCUUCCGAUCGAGUACAUGCUGCCGAGUACAUACUACUGGCCAGCCCCAGUCUCGUCGACAGCCGGAAACUUCGUCCGCCUUAGCCGCAGAUCGCUGCAUCAGGUCGUGGACGUCGUCGCCAGCUGCCGGUUUGAGGCCAGGGGAGAGGCCGCCGCCGAGGAGGCCGUCCUCAUGCGGAUGCUGCAGGCACGCGCACGUAUGCACCGAUGAUGGAGGUGAUCUGUUAUGCACGAGUUUACAAAUGCCAAUUUUAUAUCUCCUGAAAAUAGCUUUUUUUAGAACUCCUGAAAAUAGCUUUUGAACUUUGUGUUUUUUUUAUGUAUCCAAGAAUUGAGUUAAUUGUGUUGAAAUUAAUAAACCUCAAUUGAUCAUGUUGUACUGGUUCAGAUCAAGUGAUACUCUUGCGGGUAGGACCGAGAGGCUGAGAGGCAAUGCAGGUUGAUUAAUUUUCGUAUUGCUUGAAUUAGGAAUAUAUAAUGUACAAAAAUCUGAAUGCAAUUGAUGUUUGAGCCUUCGCAGAAAUAUGUUUGUAACAUUGUAUUUGUACCGCACGAGACAAGUCGGGGGAGUUGGUGUGACGAGAGGAAAAAAAGAAAAAAAAAAUGCCAUUGUUACGUGGGAUCUAUCAAAAAAUACAAGAACAUCCUGAAUCUACCGGUGUUUGGUGCUUGUCAAAAAAGACCAAAGAGAAAAAAAUUAAUGCAUAUUUUUAAAUGUAUAAUUUAUUUUGUUGUGCCGUUGUAACGCAUGGUCAUUUUGACUAGUUCAAUGAAAACGGGACAUAUAUGUACAUGUAUGCAAUCUCUACCUUCACCGUCCCAUCUCCCAUGCCCUUCCUCUGUCACCUCAAGAUCAAACUUUAAUCUGAAUUUGGAAAAGUAGUUAUCAGGGAUGAUGAUUUUGGAGUUAGCGAAUUUCUCUCUGUCUCGUAUGGACGUAUGGUUCCUAUGACUACGGCCAUAAACAAAUGGCCAAUUGAACGGGGAACGGACGCCCCACCCGAUCAUCACGCUCGCGUUUCUAGCUUGCAUCGUCGUGGUUCUUGUACGCAGAACGACGUAUCAGAGUCCCCGGCCUGCCCGGAUAGCUCGGUCCCCUCCACGAUCUCUCGGUCGUUCCCAUGAUCCCAUCCCAUGAGGCCAUGACUUUCUCGCUGGACACUCCCUGUCCUCCCCUCGUCUCGGGGGCUGAAACUGUAACCACCGAGAAUGGCCCAGGUGGACCCGCCAUCUGCCUCUCUCGGACGCUGCGAUUUGAUCUCACGUUGUUUUCUCCAAUUUUUUAGCGUCCCCUCCUCCAAAUCUGGUCUCCGUUGGGCCAUUCCUCUACGUCGGGUCGCUGUCUCGUCACCCUGGCGAUGGGGGGCGCCGUUUCGGGCCCCGCGCGACGUGGACGGCACGCGGCGGUCGGCGGGCCGUACUACUCCACGGACGGAUCGGGUCCCCUGGUCUAGUUUACGGCCCUCCUCGGCAAGUAGACCAUUGUUGCUCUACACCGGCCUGCCUUUUCUAGAUUCCUGCGCCGCGCGCGGAGCAGUCGCAGUCUCGCGAUCGGGGAAGCCAUGCGGCGCGCAUGCACGGUGCCCGCGGGGCCAUUGGCCGCCAAGUACGAUCCUGCGUGCCGCGUGUCGUCGUGUUCCUGCGAAUUAUUGGUUGGGGCUAGGUUUGGGUUUUGGGUGUGUUUGAUUGCUCCCACGGUACACUUGUACCAAAUAUUUGGUGUUUGUUUAGAUGCUAGCCGAAUGUUUUGGGCUAUUUGUCAUUUUUAUUUCAUUAUUUUUAUCUAAAAUUAGCUAAUUAAUUCAUGGAAACACAAAAGUUUGACCAAUAUUUUUGGCAACCAACCUUGGUAAGACAGCCCUCGGCUCAAACCAAACAAGAUCUUGGACUCUCGUGGCACGUGGCUAGUCGUCUAACCUUGAUGGUCGAGUGGAAUCAUAGCGGUGGCCCGGAAAUCGGUGCAAUUUACUACUCGGAGCUUGAACACUCAGUAAAAAUCUAAAGAAUCUAAAAGAAAAAGGUGCACAAAGUUUUAUUUUAAAAAUUGAUCGGCGACUUUAGAAGAGAAAAAAAAACAUACUAUUAAUAUGUAAAAUACUACUCCCUAUGUUUGUUUAUAUGAGAUGUUGAGCUUGGAUUUAAGUCAAACUUCUUAGAUUUUGAUUAGGUUUAUAUUUUUUACCAACAUCUACAACUCUAAAUUAACUUUAUUAAAUCUAUCAUUAUGUUUAUCUUCAUAGUAUACAUAUUGGAUAUUGUAGACAUUAAUAUAUUUUCCAAUAAACUUGAUCGGACAUUAAGACGCCAACUUAAAACAAAUUAGAACGUCUUGAAAAAUAGAGCUGGGGAUUGAGCCCAUUAAUAUUUUGUAGUUGAUUUUUUUGUUUACAAUGGAUCUAGGAUAAUAUAAAAAAUUUUUACCAUUUCAAACUAGGAUAAUAUAAAAAAACAUUUACAAUGGAUCUAACGAUCUUAAUUUUGCACUGAGAUGUUGAUAUUUUGUCAUAAAGGUUGGUCAAAUUUGAAAAAGUUUGACCGUCAACUAAAUUUAUGAACACUGCAUUUGGAAAAAUAAGUACUCCCUCCGUCCUAAAAAGGAUGUCGCAAAUUUUCAAAAUAUGAAUGUAUCUAGAUACAUCCAAAUUUAGACAAAUUUCAAACAUCCUUUUCCGGACGGAGGGAGUAGUAUUAUUUCACACACAGGAGAGGACCCUCUUUUCCCCAAAAAAAAAAGUUUGUAUGGCACAAUUUUUAUUUUUAUUUUUUGUUUUUCAGGAAACAUAGUAUAGUCAGACGCUCGUAAAUACGAACGUGCACUCAGCUCUAGGAACGCAUGCACACCCUACUUUUAUGAGAACCUCUGAGAGAUUGAGCCGGCAGAUAUUGAAAUCGAUGACUCUCCUUAGGAGGUUGCAACCCCUCCUUGUUGGAGGGGGAUCUCCUACCGUGACUCUGGGAGAACAUGUGGGGGUCUUUCAACAUGUAGUUUUUUCUUUCCCUAUAACGAAAAUUUAAAUACAAAUAAACUUUUGAACGGGGCAUACAAACUAUAUGCACUUUGUCAUAAAGAUAACUUCAAGACAUCUCAUAUUGACAUGUUUCAUUUUUUACUCUUUUUUUAUCCUGGCUUAUGUCUUUUGUCCUAUCUUGUUUCUAGCAGUCGUUCUUUCUUCUUCCUUUUUGUUUAGAUAGCAGCCAAUUCUUCCAGUAAUGCAACAUUACAUUUUCUAGUUCAUUUUAGCAAAACAUCCACCGAAAAGUUACAACCAAAACGAAACGUAUCAUCGGAACUUCAGUCUUCUUUUUGGUGGAGUGGAUUAUCUAGGCCCUGAAACGACAAACAAUUAAACAGGCCAUGACCCAUCAACAUUCCCCAGCCCACAUCCUAGAUUCCUAGUGCGCUAUACUCGUCUGGUGCACAAAAGGCUGCGGUCAUUCCUGUAAGAACCAGAAGCAGUGCUCUCAAGGAGCAUGGUAACCAACAUUUUACCAUAUCACUCGGUACAAACUCAAUACAAUUAUGAUUGUCUGAAUCCUCAUAAUAGGGUGGGAUUAGACAUGGCCAACCUAGUUGAGAACUAUAGGAAGUGGUGAAAGAAGACCAAAGGGGCAACGAUUUGAGAACUAUAGGAAGGGUUAUUGUUGGUGGUCCUCUCAUGCUUGGUAACCAAUAUUGUAUUUCACUAUUCUACUCGGUUUAAGCUCAAUGAAUCCCCGUAAAGCCUCAUUCGAAUAAUCCCAUCCCGGUGGGGAUCAAGAGGGAUUAUCGGGCCAGAUUUCCUCCCCAAUCCUCUCUAAACCAUGUGUAACCGAAAGAAUCCUAUGGGGACUAGACAUUCAUCGAGAGCUACAAGAAGCGGUGAAGGAGACCAAAGAAGCAGCGCGAUUCGACUGCUUCACCAUGCACGUGUUCAAUUUCCGUCAUUCUCCCAUCGCAUUACUGCAAAUGAGGGUUGUUUAACAGAAGUACAUGCGUUUUCACCAUCACCAUGCAUGGACAACGAAAUUAUCCAUCAGCAGCAAGGUAACAAUGCACUGAGAAUGGCUUAGGCCAACAAGCUUUCACAACUAAGUACACAUGAGCCUCAGGUACAUAGUUGGCGCGAAUGAUACAAGUCGCAGGAGCGAAGAAACACUACACAUAGCACUACGCUACAAGUCCAGUGCACACCCAAGCAAAGGGGAACAACUGCAUACAUGCACGGACAAGCCAGGUUAAACUGAUCUGGUUACUACUAUGGGAUCAUUCCAGUCAGUCAGUCUUGGAGUCUCCAUCGUAACAUGGCAUCUUCUCUACGAAGGAGAGAGACUCCACUCAUCACAAGGGGCGUCCUCAGGUGCGCCCCGUACUUUCAAGGCAACCUGUCGGGUGAAAAGAGUUAGACAGAGCCCCUGAAUCUGUAAACGCCUUUUAGGAACAUAUGGUAUUGUAGUAAUUUUAUAGUAGCAUUAAUCUAAAAUUCCCAAGGAGGCAGAAAAGCGUUUUGUCCGGGACUCACGCUAGCUUCAGGGAUAUAUCAGAACCGUCGUCAUUGUCGUGCGAGCUCCCCGAAUGCAAUGCCGUCAUCACAGAUUCAGAUGAGUGGACAUCUUCAGUGGCAACGUUUUCAGUUUCGACAACAGUCAUCUUGCCGGCCUUUGGCACCUGAGGCAUCUACAUCCAAUCACACGAGCAGCACUUAAAUUUGUGUUCCGCCGCCCCCACCAAUUAUAGAGAAACUAGAAUGGUUGUUCGGAUUGCAUUUUUUAAAGAUUGAUUAAGUGCAGGAUUACAGAUGCAGCAAAUAUCUUCUUACUUGGCUUCUCAAGCGCAAAUUUUCCUCUGCCACAAGUGUGCCCUACAAGAAAAACGAAAUCUCAUUAUAAAAUGUUCUUGAAGAAGUACACAGCGUUCUAUUAACCAAAUAAUAAUAAUCAUCUGGGGUAGAAAUUUUGUGAUGCUGGAUGGUAAAACCAAAAGAGAAAAAUGCAAUCAAACAAAAAUCCAUCGGUUGCAUGUGUGUUGAAAUACUCAUUUCUUCUGAUUAAUUGAAUAAAUUUCGAAAGCAAAUAAAAAAAGUCCCACGUCCGAAAAUCUACAGAGAAAGCACUGAGAAAUUGCUGAUAAGAAUUUCAUAAUAUGCGCAGUUACAUUUCCAAGUAUUGAUGUGUAACAUAACUGACAAGUUCCACCUUCCUCCCAGGAAAAGAAGGUUCUACUUUGACUUCACAAAUAAUAGUCAACGUACCUCUCUUGUUUAGCAAAUCAUGCUAUUGUGACAACUUUUGGGAACUGAUUUGUUGCGCACGACAUGCACAUAUCUACUACAUAUGCAUACAUAUUCAUAUGGAUUUCUAUCUCCAGCAUACUACAAGGGCAUGUACCACUAAGGUUCCCAAUAUUUAUUUCCUACACGGCUACCAGUUGAGGUAAGUACCCACGGAACACAUUUUACUCUGUUAGUUACAUGCAAGUCUCAUACUCCCUGCUGCCGGUAAUACUUUUUCGAAAUAUUGCAUGUAUCUAGACACUUUUAAACAUAGAUACAUUCAUUUUGGGACAAAAAUGAGACAAAUAAUAUAGGUCGGAGGGAAUAUGGGACGGAGGGAGUAUUAAAUUGCAAUUCAAGCUUAUUAAUUUCUUUCUUGAAAAGGGUUCCAAAACCAAAAACAAUAAAAACAACCUAAAAUAAUAAUAAUAAUAAUAAUAAUAAUAAUAAUAAUAAUAAUAAUAAUAAUAAUAAUAAUACUCCAAAAGAAGCCACUGAUUUGAUAAUUUGACUUGUGUCCAGAGUACAAAAAAGGACCUGGGUCAUAGCUGUCCCCGGUUUCUAAGAACAGAUUUUAAAAAGCAGUGGAGUUUACUCAUUCCUCACCUUUUGUUGGAGCUCACUGAUUUGUUGCAUGAAUUGUUGGUCCUGCAGAAACAUAUAUAUGUCGUGUGAAACGAUUGACAUUGUGUCUGGCAACCCAAACUAAACUUAAGAAGAAUAAAAAGGGAGCCACCCUACCUUUGUACAAAGCACCCUCUGCAGUCCUGUUUCAAGAUUCUUUUCCAUCUGCUGCAAUUCACCGACAGUUAACCCCUCAAGUUCCUCACCUCUCAUAUGUCUAUGUAGAUUAUAGAACAUGGCAUCAGUAGUAAACAAGUUUUAAGUUAACACACAAAGCCAGGAUCAAACAAAACAUUACCUAAGCCGAAGACUUGCUUCUGCGAGUUGUUCAUUCAAACUGUUGUACUUGUUGUGUUCUACCUGACAAGAUCACAUAGAUGUCAGUACUAGCAUAUAAAUUAGGCACAAUGAUAGAGUUUCUUAUGAGAUUUGUGCAAAUUCAGAUUGUCAGAUCUGGAAAUUCACAGUAAAUGAUUCGAAAUUAAUGAAAUCUGGGCCUUUUGUUUCGGGCUUAGAACAUGUCCAGUGGGCCAUAUAAAGAGGGCCCAAGCUGGAAGGAUGAGCCAAAUCAUGAGCAGGGUCUACUAAGGAAAUAAUGAUGAAGACAAAUUUUCACCUCCAAAUGUAUGUCACCUGAUCAAUAAUUCCAGAAGUGAAAUUUGGUUUGGUGUACCCCUACAAUGUAUAUAAUACAUGAUAAAUCACCCCUCUAGGUGGGUUCAAACUAACAUGGCAUAUGUUCAGUCUGUUCUGAGCCAAAUAGAUGCUGAUUGUGACUAUGGCCUCUAUUUGACUGAUCUGACUUGACAUUUCCCAUGCACUUUCCUUUCCACUCUCUCACCCCCAUUGUCAGCGGAGAAGAUCUCACUACCGUAUUUGCCACCAUUGGCGAGCCAAGAGACACCGCCGCCAUGCCAACAACGACCGACACAAUGACGCGACCUCCCAGGCACCACAGUGGCUACGCAGCGGCCUUCUUACUCAAGUCCAGCCACUGCUCAGCUGCAUCGAAUCUCUGCCCACGGUGAGCCCCUAAAAAAUUCCUCUUGCUCGUGCAAUCCUCUCCUUCUAUAGAUUAUUUACACUCACCCAAUUUUGCUGAUCCUAGCUUCGCCUCCACGUGCACCCACCGCAGCACAUGUACCGUCCAAACCACACUAUCAUCGUCACCUUUGUUUCUUUCCGAAACCGAACCCUUGUUUCAUGUUCACCAUCACCUUCGACGACCCACGACCUAUGUUUCUUCAGCGAGCUCGUUGUGGCGCUGUCCUUUGUUCCUUCCCACUGUUCUCCCUAUGUUCUCUCUUUGCCUCAAUUCUGCUCGUGCUUCCUUAGUGCUCACUAAUUAAUCAUAGUCUUCGUUGGGUUCUUCUCGCCGUUGAUUGGAAUGAGAGAGAUGGUGAGACUUGAGGAAGAAGAAGGCGGCGUAGGUGCUACAGUACUUAGCAGCAUUGUCCCGGUCAUCUUGUCAUGAUGGUACACUACUCUUGAUCCAGUGACAUACACUUGAGGGUGAAAAUUGGACUUCUUUCCGUGAAAUAUAGAAGACAACAUAGACUUCCUGGUACCGUCGUGCGCAUUAUAUCCCUAUUUAGUUUGUUUUCCAUGCAACUAAGUGACAGCGCACCGUAAAUAUUUUGAUUAACAUCGAACUUAUUUAUGAUCGGCAAAGGACAUUAAUUUUUAUUAGAAAAGAAGAUGUCAUAAACAUUUUGCUCCGUAGAUUCUAUAUAAAAAGGAUAGCUAGAUUGCUCGGCAUACGUUUAAAUCAAUUGAAGGUUGCCUCCUGGCCUGUGGCUUGGCAAACCGGCCUCCAGUCGGCCUGGGCGAGGCCGAGUGGGCCUAAUCGGCUUGGGCCAAGCCGAUUAGCUCCAGUAGGCCAGGCCCAGGUCGAGGGUGUAUUAUUUUUAAUAAAUUAUUUUCAAUAAUGAUUAAAUAAUUCGUAUUAUUUAAAAAAAAUAGCCAUGGUUUUGGCAUGCCAAUGCUAUUUGUCAUUUUUUAUUUUAUUUUUUAAAAGUUGGCUAAUUCAUGGACAAAAAAGUUUGACCACCAGCAGCUGAGGUGCUCUGGGGAGAUCGGAGGAUGCUGUACUUGAGAAAAUGACUCUGGAAAGAGAGAUGGAUGAGUUGCUCUAUAAGGAGGAGAUGAUGUGGCUUCAGCGGUCACGUAUCGCGUGGCUUUGGGAAGGGGACAAAAACACAAGUUUUUUUCACAAGAAGGCUGUGUGGCGUGCUAAGAAGAAUAAAGUUGAAAAGCUCCGGAAGGAGGAUGGUGAAUGGGAGGAGGACGGGGAGGAGAUCGGGCGCAUGGCGAGGUCCUUUUUUCAGGAACUUUAUACUCGUGAUCCUGCUGUUGACCCGAGUGAGAUUGUGCACUUAUAUGAUCACGUCAUUACUGAAGCUAUGAACGAGGAUCUGUGCAAACCGUUUACUGACAAGGAGAUCAGCGAUGCCCUUUUCCAGAUUGGACCCUUAAAGGCACCUGGGCCGGACGGCUUCCUAGGCAGGUUUUUUCAACGGAAUUGGGAAGUGCUUGGGAGGAUAUUACGAAGGCAGUAUGUAGAUUCUUUGAGGGUGGAGUGAUGGAGGAAGAUGUAAAUGAUACGGCCAUUGUGCUUAUUCCAAAAAAGGGUGAUCCGGAGACGUUGAAGGAUUUCAGACCUAUUAGUCUCUGCAAUGUGAUCUACAAGAUUGUGUCCAAGUGCUUGGUGAACCGACUACGUCCGCUGUUGGGGGAUAUCAUCAGCCCCGAACAGAGUGCCUUUGUCCUGGGCCGGAUGAUCACUGAUAAUGCUCUAAUAGCAUUUGAAUGUAUACAUGCCAUGCAAAAGAACAAUGAUGAACGUGGGGAAUUCUGUGCAUACAAGCUUGACUUGGAAAAAGCUUAUGAUCGAGUGGAUUGGGGGGCGUUGGAGGCAUGGUGAGGCUGGGCUUUCAUCGCACAUGGAUACAGUGGACUCUUCAAUGUGUCGCCAUUGUACGCUCCACGGUGCGCCUCAAUGGGGAGCAGCUUCAGGCGAUCUCCCCAAUGCAUGGUCUUCGCCAAGGUGAUCCUUUGUCACCCUACCUCUUUCUAUUUGUGGAUGAUGGCUUAUCUUGCAUCUUGAAGCACAAAAUUGAAACUGAACGUAUGGAUGAUCUGAGAAUCUGUCAAGGAGCGCCGGGUAUCUCGCAUUUGCUCUUUGCGGAUGAUAGCUUGUUGAUGUUUCGAGCCACGGCAGAGCAAGCUUUGCAAGUCCAGGAGGUGCUAACCUUGUUUGAGAAGAGCACUGGGCAACUGUUGAGUGCGAGUAAGUGCUCCAUAAUGUUUGGCCGUUCUUGCACGUCAGACAAUCAACAAGUUGUGAAGGAAAUUUUGCAAGUUGAGAAGGCUGGGUUUGAGGAGAAGUAUUUGGGACUGCCUAUGCCAAACGGAAGAAUGAAGAAUGAUCAGUUCAAAGGCAUAAAGGAUAAGUUCAAUAAACGCAUGUCUGAUUGGUCUGAGAAGUACUUGUCGGCAGGAGGGAAGGAGGUGUUGAUCAAAUCAGUGUUGCAGGCUCUUCCUACUUAUGCCAUGGGAAUUUUCAAGUUUUCAGCCGGGCUAUGUGAAGACCUAUCUCACUUGGUGAGGAAUUUUUGGUGGGGAGACGAAGAAAAUGAUCGCAAGAUUCAUUGGUUAGCUUGGGACAAGAUAACUGUCCCGAAGAGCUUCAGAGGCAUGGGGUUUAGGGACUUCAGAGCUUUUAAUCAGGCGUUGCUUGCACGUCAAGCCUGGAGGCUUAUCCAUGAGCCGAACAGCCUGUGCGCGAGGUUGUUGAAGGCAUGUUACUACCCGGCUGGACAAAUACAUGAUACUGUCUUCAGCUCGGGGGGAUCGGCGUCGUGGCAGGGCAUUGUGCAUGGCUUGGAGCUAGUGAAAAAGGGCAUGAUCUGGAGAGUUGGUACGGGCGAGAAAGUGCAUAUUAUCCGGGACAACUGGCUUGCUCGGGACGAUGCCCUUAAAAUUUCUGGAUAUAUUCCAGAAACGCACGAGGAGGAAGUUUGUCAGGGACCUUAUGGUGGAGGGCGAGAGAAGAUGGGACGAGGCUGUGGUCAAUGAGUUUUUCUGGCCACAUGAUGCAAAGCUGAUCCUGCGCCUGCAAAUUCCACAAGGUCAGGUGGAGGACAGGAUCGCUUGGCACUAUGACAAGCUUGGGAUUUUUUCUGUUAGGAGCACCCAUCGCCUGGCGAUCCGCGACCGCUUGCAGAUACAGAAUCCUGGUUCCUCGAGUUCUACCACCGAUGGAAGUCGCAAACACUGGAAGGUUCUUUGGUUGGCUCGGGUUCCCCCAAAGGUUAGGGUUUUUGCUUGGAGGCUGGCGCGCAAUGCCCUAGCUACCCAGAAGAACAGGCAACGGCGGGGAAUGGAGGUGCUCGCGACCUGCAAUAUUUGUGGGCGGGAGGAGGAGGAUGAACAUCAUGCUGUGAUUGGCUGUACAAAGGCGCGAGCACUCCGGGAUGAGAUGCGCCAGCACUGGGAGCUGCCACCAGAGGACAAGCUGGGGAGAGGCCCUGAGUGGCUCCAGCUGCUCCCCUAUGGAUCAUCGAAGGAGAUGCGCGCUCACCACUUGAUGUUGUUCUGGCAAGCGUGGCACCUCUGCAAUAACGUCAUUUUGGAGAUGGGAAGGCAUCGAUUGUCGGCAGUGCUCAGUUCCUUGUUAAUUACUUGGAGUCGUUGGGUAAUCUCCGGCUUAAACCAGCAGAUGUGAAGGGCAAGUCCUUGGAGAGUAGGGAGCGUUUGAAGGGAGUUCAUAAGCCUAGUUUUCGUUCUAAUAGGGGUGUAGAUGGUACUGCUGAGUGCCCUAAGCCGCCCCAAGACUUUGCUGAGCUCCAGAAUUUUGCUUUUAAUGUGACCCUUAAUCGUUAGUAAAGCUCCCUAUUCCAGCGCGAAAAAAAAAGUUUGACCAAUAUUUUUAAUAUUUUUGGCAACCAACUUUUUCUCGGCUCAAACCAAACAAGACCUUAGACCCUCGUGGGGUGUGGUUAGUCGUCCAACCUCGUGAACGCGAUGGUCGAGUGGAAUUAUAGCGGUGGCCCAAGAAUUUAGUGCAAUUUACUACUCGGAGCUCGCACACUCAGUAAGAGUCUAAAAAAUCUAAAAGAAAAAAGGUGCAGAAAGUUUCAUUUUGUAAAUUGAUCGGCGACUUCGGAGGAGAACAAAAAAACGUACUAUAAAUAUGUAAAAUACUACUCCCUGCGAUCCUAAAUUGUUGUCAAAAUAUUACAUGUAUCUAGACACUUUUUAAGAAUAGAUACAUCCAUAUUUUAGCAAAUUUGAGUCAAGAAUUUAGGAUCAGAGGGAGUACUCCCUAUGUUUGUUUAUAUGAGACGUUUAGCUUCGAUUUAAGUCAAACUUAUUAAAUUUGAUUAUGUUUAUAAUUUUUUUUACCAACAUCUACAACUAUAAAUUAUUAUUAUGUAAAAAUCUAUCGUUAUAUUUAUCUUCAUAGUAUACUUAUUUGAUAUUCUAGGCAUACAUUAAUAUAUUUCCCAAUAAACUUGAUCGGACAUUAAGACGUUCGACUUAAAAAAAAAUUAGAACUCUUAAAAAAGAGAGCUGGGGAUUUGCUAAUUUAAAAUGUGACGAGAAUUGAGUCCAUUAAUAUUUUGUAGUUCAAUUUUUUGUUUUAGUUUCACAAUGUGUCAUCUAAAGUUCGACCAAGAUUAUAACAAAAAAGGUUCAAGGAUAUAACAUUUCAAACUAGGAUAAUAUUAAAAAAAUCAAUGGAUCUAACGAUCUUAAUUUUGCACCGAGAUGUUAAUAUUUUGUCAUAAAGGUUGGUCAAAUUUGAGAAAGUUUGAUCAUGGACUAAAUUUAUGAACAUUACAUUUUGAAAAAUAAGUAGUAUUAUUUCACACACGGGAGGGGACCCUCUUUUUUUUUUUUUAAAGUUUGUAUGCCACAAUUUUUUUUUUGGGAACAUAGCAUAAUCGCACACGCUCGUAAAUACAAACGUACAUUCAGCUCUACAAACGCACGCACACCCUAACUUUACGAGAGCUUAUGAGAGACUAAGCCGGCAGAUUUUGAAAUCGACGACUCUCCUUAGGAGGUUGCAACCCCUCACUGUGGGAGGGGGAUCUCCUAGUGUGACACGUGGAGUGCUCUUUUUUUAGGAAAGUUAGGAGGUGCUCAGCUAUUGGAUUAAGAAGAGAACAAACAAAUUUACAGACUGAACAAGCAGUCAAAGAACAAAAAGGAAACCUGAAAAACGAAAAGAUCUGAUACUGCUGAAGCCUCACUUAGGAGGUGGGAGGCUAAUCUCAUCUCUGAUUAGCGCCGUACUCUUUGUGCAGUUAAGCUUUUUUGGUCAAAAACUCUUCUAUUUCUAUCUUUCCAAAUGUUCCACACAAUAUAUGAAGCGAGUGAGAUGAUCUUCUUUUUUUUCAUUGCAUUUUGGAGCAGUUUUGAGUCUUUUCCACCACCCCUUAAUUGAACUGGAAGCCGCAACAUGCUGGAGCAAUGGUUGAUCAGCAGAAAAGUUAUGCCAAACCUCCUUGGAGAAGGAACAUCUGAGCCCCAUAUGAGCAGCUGAUUCAAUCUCCUGAUAGCACAAUUUGCGAGUCCCAUCAUGCUGCCAAUUUCUGGCCAUCAAUCUGUGGACGGUCCAAGUCUGUUCUGAAUCAAAAGCCACAUGAAAAACUGAACCUUGCGUUCAGCUUUAAUCUUCCAACUUUUGCAAGCUGUUGCUGCUUCAAAUUGCCUAGAAAUUGCACCUCAUAUGCGGAUUUGCUGAGUAUGAUUUACGGAGUGCUAUGGGAGAACAUGUGGGUUCAAGAGGUAGUUUUUUUCUUUCCCUAUAUCGAAAAUUUAAAUACAAAUAAACUUUUGAACGGGGCAUGCAAACUAUAUGCACUUUCUCAUGAAGAUAACGUCAAGACAUCUCAUAUUGACAUGUCUCGUUUUUUACUUUUUUUAUCCCGACUUAUGUCUUUUGUCCUAUCUUGUUUCUAGCGGUCGUUCUUUUUCUUCUUCUUUUUAAUCCCGUAAUUAUCUUGUUCUGCGCACGUGGUGUUUAUUUUUAGAUGGUAGCCAAAGUUCACCUAAUCAAACUUUUGAUACUAACCAAAAAUUUAGUAAUUGUUUAAUAGCAGCCAAUUCUUCCAGUUAAACGGCAUUACAUUUUCUACUACUUUCUCUGUUUC
rnacentral:lncRNA from 1 species